rnacentral:rRNA from 1 species
AUUGAACGCUGGCGGCAUGCCUUACACAUGCAAGUCGAACGGCAGCACGGGAGCUUGCUCCUGGUGGCGAGUGGCGAACGGGUGAGUAAUACAUCGGAACGUACCCUGAAGUGGGGGAUAACGUAGCGAAAGUUACGCUAAUACCGCAUAUUCUGUGAGCAGGAAAGAGGGGGAUCGCAAGACCUCUUGCUUUAGGAGCGGCCGAUGUCGGAUUAGCUAGUUGGUGAGGUAAAAGGGCUCACCAAGGCGACGAUCCGUAGCGGGUCUGAGAGGAUGAUCCGCCACACUGGGACUGAGACACGGCCCAGACUCCUACGGGAGGCAGCAGUGGGGAAUUUUGGGACAAUAGGGCGCAAGCCUGAUCCAGCCAUGCCGCGUGAGUGAAGAAGG